UACGGAGGGGGCUAGCGUUGUUCGGAAUUACUGGGCGUAAAGCGCACGCAGGCGGUUUGUUAAGUCAGAUGUGAAAUCCCCGGGCUCAACCUGGGAACUGCAUUUGAAACUGGCAAGCUUGAGUCUUGUAGAGGGGGGUAGAAUUCCAGGUGUAGCGGUGAAAUGCGUAGAGAUCUGGAGGAAUACCGGUGGCGAAGGCGGCCCCCUGGACAAAGACUGACGCUCAGGUGCGAAAGCGUGGGGAGCAAACAGG
rnacentral:rRNA from 1 species